rnacentral:rRNA from 1 species
UACAUGUGGGGCAAGCGUUGUUCGGAAUUACUGGGCAUAAAGGGUGCGUAGGCGGCGCUGUAAGUCAGGGGUGAAAUCCCACGGCCCAACCGUGGAACGGCCUUUGAUACUGCAGUGCUUGAGUGCGUGAGGGGUGACUGGAACGCGUGGUGUAGCGGUGAAAUGCGUAGAUAUCACGCGGAAGGCCAAAGGCGAAGGCAAGUCACUGGUACGCAACUGACGCUGAGGCACGAAAGCGUGGGGAGCAAACAGG